CGUGGACCCACCGGAAGUUUGCGUUUCCGGGUAACUAGGAUGAGGGCGGGCUGAAGAGUUCCUGACCCAUUCAGUCAAAUGUUGGGCAGUAGGGCGGCGUGAAAGUCAAAGUCGCUCAGUCGUGCGUGUUCCCACUCUUUGCGACCCCAUGGACUGCAGCUCACCAGGCUCUGUCCAUGCAAUUCUCCAGGCCAGAAUACUAGAAGACCUGGUACAAGAUGAUUCAGCUUUGGAUUUCCCUGGUGGCACAGUGGAUAAGAAUCUGCCUGCCAGUGCAAGGCACACCGGUUCUAUCCCUGGUCUGGGAAGAUUCUAUGCAGAGGACCAACUAAGCUCAUGGGCUACAACUACUGAAGCCAGCACACCGCAUCAAGUGUAGCCCCUGCUGGUGGAAACUAGAGAAAGCCUAUCCUAAGCAACAAUGACCCAG
ensembl:lncRNA